GAGUUUGAUCUUGGCUCAGAUUGAACGCUGGCGGCAUGCCUUACACAUGCAAGUCGAACGGCAGCACGGGAGCUUGCUCCUGGUGGGCGAGUGGCGAACGUGUGAGUAAUGCAUCGGAACGUAUCCUGGAGUGGGGGAUAACGUAGCGAAAGUUACGCUAAUACCGCAUAUUCUGUGAGCAGGAAAGCGGGGGACCUUCGGGCCUCGCGCUCUUGGAGCGGCCGAUGUCGGAUUAGCUAGUUGGUGAGGUAAAGGCUCACCAAGGCGACGAUCCGUAGCAGGUCUGAGAGGAUGAUCUGCCACACUGGAACUGAGACACGGUCCAGA
rnacentral:rRNA from 1 species